AAGMCGCUGGCGGGGWGCCUUACACAUGCAAGUCGAWCGGCAGCACGGACUUCGGUCUGGUGGCGAGUGGCGAACGGGUGAGUAAUGUAUCGGAACGUGCCCAGUAGCGGGGGAUAACUACGCGAAAGCGUAGCUAAUACCGCAUACGCCCUACGGGGGAAAGCAGGGGAUCGCAAGACCUUGCACUAUUGGAGCGGCCGAUAUCGGAUUAGCUAGUUGGUGGGGUAACGGCUCACCAAGGCGACGAUCCGUAGCUGGUUUGAGAGGACGACCAGCCACACUGGGACUGAGACACGGCCCAGACUCCUACGGGAGGCAGCAGUGGGGAAUUUUGGACAAUGGGGGAAACCCUGAUCCAGCCAUCCCGCGUGUGCGAUGAAGGCCUUCGGGUUGUAAAGCACUUUUGGCAGGAAAGAAACGUCGCGGGUUAAUACCYCGCGAAACUGACGGUACCUGCAGAAUAAGCACCGGCUAACUACGUGCCAGCAGCCGCG
rnacentral:rRNA from 1 species